CAAAUAAAAUUAAGUUACUUAAUUAUUGAAUGCAUUUUGUAGGUAAGAAGAAUUAAAUAAACUUAGGUUAUAAUAGAAAAAUGUAAAAAUUAUCGAUCAGUUUUCCAAAAUAAUUCCUGCGUAUGACGUGUCAUAGUGUAAUAUACAAUGAUUUUCCUAUUGAAGGUUACUGUAACAGCGACACCCGGCGUAGAAGCCCCCUGCAGCAAGUCAGUCCCAGUGGUGUAAUGUUUAUAUUAGCCGGUGCAUCGUCGAGCCUGUGGGCUUCAUUCAUCGCCCCUCCCCUUCCCCAUCGACGUGUUUCUUUUGUAUAUAAUCUCGUUAAUUUUUUCAGUUCGUACAAUCACACGGGGCUAUAGACACACGACCUUUUGUAUUUUGUACAGUGACCACAAUGGUAUUGGACAUCAAUAAGAAUUUCAUGUUGGCGAAUCUCGAUUUAUAAUCACUGCCCAUUGAUAAAAUUAAAAUCUUAUAUUUUAUACUUGACGUUUCAAAAAUAAAAUACUCGACAGUUUAUCUGCUAAAAAGAAAAAUGACAAAAUAGUGGAAUUUAGGAUUUUAAUAUUUGAAAGUCAUUAGGAAUGUUGCUUGCUGAAUAUUAAUGCGAAGUUUUUUUAUAAAUAUGUUUUAGCACGUUAUAUAAUAUUAACAUUAAUUUCUUUUCAGACGCGAGUCAUUUGUCUUAAGUGGAUUAAUAGAAACAAUCAAGUUCAAAGUAAUUGAUACACGAGAUCAAUAUUAACAAAAAAUUAACAAGGUGAACCUGCAAGUGCAGGAUAUGAUGCAGUUCUGAGCGAGAAAUGGAUCUAAUUUUACCGCUAAAUGCAUUGAAUCCCUGUCCCUCUGAAAUUUAUCGUCACGUGUAUCGGCGAAAAUUCUCCCCCGUUUAGAGUGUGAUGCAGAUAGGAGCUCCCUUUUUUUCUUUUUCUUGCUCUAUUCAGCCUCUUUAUGUCGAGAGGCCUCGUGAUCGUGUCACGAGAGAGCGAAUUGAUGAAAUCAGAAAUGCAGAUCAUGACGGCACAAUUGGGAUUAAAUGUAUCGUCUGUGGUUGAGGGUGGAAACAAGGAAAAAAUGAGAUCUCGCAUCCCUUUUAGAGCAGCCAGAGUGAUAAGCGGAUUUUUGAUCGAUCUUUUUUCUUUAGUAGACAAUAGUCACAUUGGUCAUAGCAACUUUUUAUGCUGAAGCUAACGUGGGAAGAUGAUAUUCUGUGAGUUUUUUUUUUUUAAUAUCAUGAUAUGAUAUUAUAUUAUGAUAUUAUAUGAUAUGAUAUUAUUUUUUAUAUAAUCGUAGGUAAUUGCUUCUAGGAUAUACUUUAAUAUUUAAAACGAGUUUAAAGAGGCCGAAGGGACUUCGUUCCAUUUUAAUCCCCUUUAAGAGACCCAUUUUGGCCCUAGACAGAAAGGGAACACUCUUUGCACCUACUCUUUGCUGUCAGAGUGCGGACUAGCCUCCAUUUUCUCUACUCUAAAAGCCUUCUCGUAACAAAAAGCUACAACCUGAAAAUAUUUCAAGCAAUCCUACUUGAACCUUACAUUGGAACUAAUACUUAGAAAACCAGUAAAUCCUUCGUUUUCCAUCAUAUACCCUUCCCUUAUGAUUAUCGUUUAAAACUGAUCUCUCUUUUUUCACAAGACCAAUAUAAAAUAUGAAUAAAACUCUACGAUACUUUUUUGGUCCACCGUCAUUCGAUAUUUCUUAGAAGAGUUUUACAAAGAAUGCUCCCAUAGCUGACAGUCUUUUUCUCACGUUUUCCGCUUGAGAAGCUACGGUCAUUCAGCCGCGACUCAUUUCGUCGUUUAAUCCUACAUGCACUUGACUCGAGAGACCGCGUGCAACCUGUGCCCUAUAUUCGCAUGGGGGUAACCGAACCCCAGAAACACCCUCAAGGAUCCAGCGAGGGCUACAACGUUUAAAAUAAAUUUCAAUUCAGAGCCAGAAGGGGUGUGUAUCACUUUCACUAGACCUCUGUCGUGUUUAACGAGCUAUUGAUAUCUUCCACCCACCAGAACUCCCCUCUGUAGAGUGGUAAGGAUAUAUACGUAUGUAAGCUACGUACUCUAGUCGUUAGCGGCCCCUUUCCUGGCCCCCUUUUUUGACCAGGAAAACCGCCACAUGUGUGUGAUAUGUGUUAAAGCCCAGGCGAGAUCUACAGUGAUUCCAUUCUAAAGUCUUGCCCUAUGGGAAAGUUCAGGUGCUCCAGUGGUUGUGGUUAAACCAGAAAAUUAGGUUCACGGUGAACUACCGAUGUAGGGCGAUCGAUUGUGGGAAGUUUUGCAAGAAGCUUGACCAGUCUUCCCUUAUGGGACAAACUGUAUCGAGUGUUACGCCUGAUGGAAUUGCAUUCAAUGAAAUUUUAUGGUGUAUAGAGAAGCAAGUAUUUUUAGCAUAUUUAUUCGAAGGUAGCCUGAAUACGGGUAAUAUUUCUUUCAUUCUUUACGGUAUCCGGGCCAGUUUCCUGUCACCUUCUUUUUAAAAAAUCAUAGCGAGGAGAUGAGACGAUUAAUUCCAGACAUUUUUCUUGAGAACAGUGCAGUUUCCUGCACGAACAUCAUCGACUAUAGAAAUCCAAGGCGACAAAGCACAGGAAUUCUUUGAAAGGACAAAACAGUUCGAGCCUCAGAUUUCUAUCCUCCUCGUCGUGAAUGGGAAACAUGUGAAAAAGGGGCCAGGAAGUGCGUACACCCACGAGGAUCUAUUGCGACACAAUAAACGCUGCUGACCGCGUUUUUCUUGCUUUUAUCCUCUACGUUCGUUCAUCUUUAACGCAAUAUUAGAAUCCAUUCAUUGAGAAAAACUUCUAUCAAUUAGAAAACUCUAUACUCUAAAUUAUUCCUUUAUAAACAGAUUCAGUUAUGUAUAAUUAGAAAGGUACGAUAUUUAAUCAUCUACUUUAAAAUGUUAUAAAAAAUACCUCCUCCUUAAAUUUAAAUAUCUAGUCUGUGUAAAAGUUUUCUUAUUACAAUUUUGAAAAUUUGUUUAAUCAAAUGAAACUAAUUGCACGUACAUAUGUUCCUUUAGCCACAAGUGUAAGAACACCAAAGAUAAUUGACAAUGGAGAAAAUUUCACGUACCUAUAUACAAUCGGUUCACUAGGGCGAUUAUAAUACCCUGGCAGAUUCAUGGCGGCGAUAUCUAACAAUAAGUUCUAAAAGAAUCUUAUUGACCUGUUAAGAUACGAGAGAGAAAGAAACCGUGGCAGCUGGCCUGGAAGAUCGUUGCGGAUCCUCCUCCUUUAUAGAAUCCUAUAUAAAUCGUGGACCGUGCCUUUCUACGGGGAAACACGUGCCAGCCACAUGUUGCAUAAAAGGAAUCGUCAGUGGUCCUUUCGAAUAUCUAUAGCGUAAAGUCGCAAUCACAAAGGAGCUUUAGAGCCUAUAAAUGAUUCUCUUUCGACCGAAGGAUACGAAACAGCGGCAGAUGUUUUCCGUCUUUAUCUCUUCAAACAUGUCGAAUUCGGGCCAACAGGCUGGCUGCGCAUGCAUCUAAUCGCACAACCUACGAUCAUGGAACGGAACGAUUCUUAAGAACGAACACGUGGUUGUGACCAUCUGUUAGCAUCCUGCUUCGUUCAUCCUACCCUAAGUUAGAGCCUUUUCGCCUCGCUAGUUCUUUCCUCCUGCACCUAGAAGAUCGACACAUAAGCAUCAAUCCUUUCAAGGCUAUUUGAUUUUUUAAACUCCAAGGACGAAUUGAAAGCUGUUUAAAUUACAUCGUAUAACAAUAAAGUAAUGGACCAUUAACUAGAAGAGAAUUAUAGAAUACAGAAGAAUGAAAAAUGCACAGAAUAGAAUAAAUCAAUAACAUAACACGAUAAACACGACAACAGAACAGAUGAAAUCCUCAAUCCCGAAAAUUAAUCCUCAUAAAAUACCAAAAGCAAUUUAUAUCGAGUUUCUCAGAGAAGUUUAAACACUAAGGAUCUCAGCUUCUUAUCACCUUCACCAACUCUUCAUGAAACCACUACAAGGAACACAAGGCGUAAACUUUCCCAGCAUGCAAUACGCUCAAAUAUUUAGUUUAGGGGGCGACAUCGUUCGCUUUUAGUUGAGAGUCAGAGAUUUUAAGAGGUGCGUGAAAGACCGUCACAUGUUCUCCGCUUUUUUGCUCAUCAUCAGCCGCUCCGAAUUUAUUUUUACUAACGAAGAGGUACGUUCUUGCGUCGCCUACUUGUCAUAGGACACCAUCGACGACUGGAAUAACAUUUCCACGGAGGAAUAACCGUCGCAUAUGAGUCAAAGUUGUAAAAGCUAGAAUAUCGCGGAGAUCGUUUAGGCGGGCCGCUUUGUGUCCUCGGUAAAAGGUGUCCCAAGCAGGUAAAACAUUCCUAUUGAAACGGUUCUACCUGACCCACCUGGCUUUCACGCUACAUUUUCGGCUCGACAACAGUUUCUCCCCAUGCAUAUGGAUAUCAAAAAAGGACUAGCUACAUAAAACGCAGAAUCUCCGUUAGCUAGAUCAAAAAUAUAUCGCCAACAAUCUGUACAUAUAUUGAAAACAAAAUUUUCAUUAAUUACACUGGUUAGAUAAAAAAAUUAAAGUAUCUUUAAUUUAUAGUAUUCAAGCACGAGUAUAUGUUUGACAGUUAAUAGCGCAUAUAUAUAUUUGAUUGGUCGACGAAUUAUCUUCAAAGAAAAUUCGAAGGGAGAUCUUAAGUUGGCUGGAAGUAUUGAAGAAGGUUCUCGAAAUCACAGCUUAAGAACCCAAUAUCGAAGGCUUUCGAAAAAGCUUGGAUAUUACUUGUCGACUGUAAAUCUCUCCCUUUGGAAGACCGCCUUCAUUCGAUAAAUGAUAUUUCUCAACCGUAACGUAUUUUCUUUGCAUGUACGUCAAUUCUUUAAAAAUACGACGCUCGAAGUCGAGCGAUUUAUUCUUUAUUUUUCAUCUUAUUUUAUUGUAUCUUUCAUUAAGAUAGAUUUCAAUUCGAUUAAUCACAUUGUAGUUUCGAACGUGGUCAUAGAGCGACGCGACAAGAAUUAAUUGCUCCUGAUUUUGAGACUAAACGUGGCUGGGUGUCAUAGAUAGUUUUGGAGAACAGGAAACGUGCGACGGGGCUGUUUCUUCGCUGGACAUCCGGCUCGCCAUGCGUCUGCGUGUGUCUUGCUUGACGUCACAACACACACCUGCUUCCUCACAGCUGUUCCCCAGUCCGUGGUGGCAAACUCCCUUGACAAAUAGUUUUAUACCACCGCGUCCAUCUCCCUUUAGAAUUUUUCUUUUUCGAAAAAUCUCGGUCGGCGUGCUUGGACUAUUCCUUCCGUUUCACAAGUAAAAAGAGAAUUGGAUUUGUCUUUUUAUAAUAACUAUUUGACUUCAUAAAUUAUAUCGCACAUGUGUUUCAAAUGCCGUGUGUCGAAAGAACAUCAAAACCAUCGCAUCAGGAUGUCAAGGGCAAAGAAUGUAAAAUUACAAAAAUAAUAUUUAACCAUUGUUUUCUAGAAUUUAUUCUUUUUAUCAACAUUAUAAACAGUUUCUCAUUUUUUCUGAAAAUCUUAUUUCAGUGGCGUUACUUUAGGAAAAUAUGUGCGAUAUGGUAAUUUAUUAUAAAUCUUCAUAUCCUUUCCUGAAGCUUAAAGUUUACAAUCAAUUUUUUAUGAAGAUAUAUCAUGGAUCUUUUUCUUUACGUAUCUGUACUGUGGAAAAACUAUAUAGGAGGAUAAUGGGAGAAUCUUGUAACGUGUUGAUGAAACGAUACUAAAUCCUUUCCGGAUAGUUAGACUCGCGAUUCUCCCAUAAUCUCUGGGUCGUGUCAGUUCGGUUUACGAUUUAUCUGCUCGGCUGCCUGUCCAUUUCAUUUUUUAUUUAUAUUUCAGGGAAGUAUCGCACUGGGAGCUACCAACCCUCUAUGAACGCAAGGAUACGUGUUUUACAAACGCCAUAUACACACACACACACACAUACAUCGAUUGAUCCAGUCGCAACAGAUGCAAGAACUGUGUUAUUUCCUUCUUCAUCUCUCCCGCUACCGCCUCUUUUUCCUUUGGCUCUCCUUUUUUCUCAUUGGGAUGCACGUACUCCCCAGAGACAUUUCUGGAAGGGAUGACGAACCCGACUGGUUAACUAGAGUAUUGUUCGAUUAUUAUUUCGGUACAUAUCGCGCACUUGUUAUCUCUUUGUGCGGUCAUAUGGUGGUCUAAGGGUGAUCUCACCGCGGAUGACAGAUCUGUCGUAUGGAAUCGUCAGAAGUAUCCGUAUUCAUCCACAAUUUCAUACUACUAUCAUAAUAUUUCAUUCAAUCCAUACAAGGAAUUUUUUACGAAGAAUUAUUUAAAACAUAAAUUUUAAAUCUAAUUUAUACUAUCUUAGCUUUCGAGGUUCAAUGAUCAUGGUUAUUUCUUUCUCAUAGAUAUUUAAUUUUGAAAUAGUCACUAAGGGAAAACUUCGUAAUUUUUUCAACAGGCGGAAAACCUUAACGGAUGGAUAAUGAUGUUCAGGGCGUAUCUGCGGUGAAUCGUACGGGGUGUUCUUACCUUUCCCCGACCACAGAGUAUCGAUGAUGCUGACGAGGGUGUUCAGAAAGUUAUUAUACAGGGGCACUCUUCUAUUCUAUGGUUCCCAUGGAACAACAUCAGGGGUCUGCAACUUCCAUGCAACCUGUGCCAACCUGUAAUUUCCGGUCGUAGAACAAUCCUCAGUUAUCUUUUUACAUCAUUACCAGUUAUCAUAUCAUUAAUUGCAUCUUCAUUCAUCUUCGUACUAUGUAUUCCUUUCUAUAAUUCUUUACGAUUUCAUCUUUUUAGAUAUAUCAACAUAGCGACAUUCCGAAGAGACAACGACGAAGCAAAGGAAUGACAGAAAGAAAAAGUAUAAGAAAGAAGAAAGCGAAGAAGACGAUGAUAAAAGGAGAAAGGGAGGACAAUGAUCCUCGAGAACGCAGAAAACAUCUGCUCUGGCUCCGGAUCGCAGCGUGUCCUCCUUCAAUGAGAGGCGAUUGCGUUGUGAAACUUGUCCCACCUCGGCGCGUAUAGGUAUUCAUUAUCCUCGUCUCUGGUGCCUGGUCGAUCCUUUUUCCGCACGAUCUUUUUUGGUCCAUGGAACAUCUGCGGCAGCUGCGAGGCGGUGGCCUGCCGCAGCGUACACGGAACGAGGCAGGUGCUUACCUUCGAAGAAGCUUCUCCAUCUAGCCCUGCCAAUUACGCGUGCCUCUUUCUGCCUCUCCCACUCUCCCCUGUCUCUUCCUCGUCUCCCUUCGUUCGUCUCUUUGCAAUUUUUUCACCGAUACCCGCUGAAUAAUCGAGUAUAAUUAAAUAGUCUGAAUUAUAGUUUCGAAGCGGUCGAAUAUGUUCUAAUAAUCUAUUGAAGUUUUGAGGAUUAGACGUUUGCCUUAAUAAUUACUUGGCGUUGCAAAGAAAAGUUUGAUGAUGUUUAUCUUAUACGAAGUUCAUGGAUCAUUGUAAUGAAACUUGUACUCUUUGAUACUACAUCAUACAUCGUGAAGAUACACAUAGGAGACAUCUAUGUCUAUAAUUUCUUGAGAAAAAGCGUACACUUUAAUGUAUCAUUUCUACGCUUCAGUGAAUUAUCUUGGAUAAGCCAUGGCAAUUCUCGACAAAAGGGAAAGCAAUUGUUUUUGGGAAACGAGAAGAAAGAGAAAUAAUGAUCCAUGUCUGAACUACAUUUUUUAUCGUAGUAUCUGUUCUCUGUCUCUCUACGACAACGGUCGAAGAAGAGAUUUGACAUAAGUGAUGGUACCUUGGAAGUUCGUCGUCCCCAUCUUCAUUUUUUUCUCGCCCUCUUGCGACGCGAGAUCCUUUAACCACGGGCAAAAUCGAGGCACGUGCACCAAGUUGCACACGGCCAAUCUCUUUCUUCUCUUCAUCCAACCGGGGAGAAAAAAAAUAUUACAGCAGCGUGCUCGCGCGCUCCUGAUCAUCGCCUGCUCGCGAAAACUUGCUGCCCCGUUGAAUUAUAGACUAUCCACGCGGGCUUUAUAGGUUAAUAAUAGAGACGUGAAUAUCGAUGAACAUAUAAUAACGACUCGUGAGUACUUAUUUUAAAGUACAAGUAUAAAUCAGCCAGUUCUUACAAUUAUAUAGUUAAUAGCCAGCAGCCACGUAAGAAGAUAUAAAGCAUUCUACAGAGUGACACAAAAGUAACGCGAUACAAUGUCUUAAGUACCUGAAAAUGAUUUGCUAUGAAACACGUAGCUUAUAUUUAUAUAUCUUAAUUUGUAUAUUUUCAGUAAGUCCUCUUGUACAUCAUUUUUAUAUAUAAUUCCAAUUGAAGUAAGUAAGUAGAAGUUUCUAAGCUGCAACUUUGAAUCGUUUCAGAUCCAGCGGGAAAUUUUAUGCUCUGUUCAAGACGUACGUACUCGAAAAACAGCACAUAUAGUAGGAAGGCUUCUCAAGGAUUCAGCUAGAUAUCAAAGAGAUUCACAGGAAGAACAUGGUUAUUUAUAUUGCAUGUUAGCAUAUGAAGAUUACGCAGAAAUGUAUGUAUAUGCGUUACUAAUCAACCACGAUCGACUUAUCUCAGAGGGCUUUUAAAAAUGGUUAAGACAUCUUGAAGGGACGGGAAAGUUUCCGGGGCUCGACUACGCGGCCUUCUCGGAUUCCAUAUCUAGCAGCUGCCCUCUUAGGGCUCCGUAUCUCCGAUUUUUUCUACACCCUGCUGCUUUCGUAUGUGUAUAUAGAUACUCGAAGGAAGUUUUUGCUUUGAAAAAAAUAUUGCGUUCAACCCUUUUCACUCAAAGUGUCAAAAUUUAUAGACUUCUGAACUAUAUAUUAUAGAAGUUGAAAAACUUAUUAACUACAUUUGUUUUAACUACCACACGAUAAUGAUAUCAUAACAAGAAUGCAAAGGGUUGGAAACUGUUUAUUGGUCU